GCUCUUUCUUCUGCCGUGUACUCCUCUCCUUGUCUGCGUUCGCUUCUUCCUCCCAACUGCCUGCGCCGUCCCCAACCUGCUCCCUCACUCCUCCACCACUCCUCUCCCUCUCUUCUCCUCGCGCGGAGCUGCAACGGCUAGGCCGAACAGCGGCCCCGGCGGGUCAGGCGCCGGCUGCUCGCCUCAGCUUGGCUCCGGAGGAGCGCGCUGCCGUCGUCCUCUCCCUCCCACCCAUGGCGGCGCGCAGCCAUCCUCCCUCCCUCCCCGGCGCGCUGCCGGCCUGCGUGAGCUCGGCUCCAUCCCUCCUCACCGCGCGCUCCCCGGCCAUGGCAGCGAGGCCGGCCCUCCCCUCCCCUCCCCGCGCCAUCCCUCUCCCUGUUGGCCGUCCACGAGCCGUCCACGACAGAACGGCGCACGGCGAGGCUGGCGCCCAAACGCGGCAGUGGCCCGUGCGGGGCCAUGGCGGCGGCCGCCGUGCUCCGCACCGGAACCCUGCAGCGAGCCAACGCCGAGCUCCGCCUCCACGCGCAGUCAACGAGACCAGCAGCAGCGAAUACCUCCGCUUUGGGAGUCCGGCGGCCGGAUCCGCCCUAAACCUCGGCGGAUCUACGCCUUCCUUGGCCGGAUCUGCUUCAGCGCACUCCCCUUUCCUGCAGCCACCGCCGUCACGCACGCCGGCUUAUGGCUGCGGCCGCGGUCGCUGUCAAGCGUGCCGGCUGCGUCCUCCGGCUACCGCCCUCACCCGCGCCGGUUGCGGCCUCCGGCGGCCGCCGGGCCCCGCGGCCGGAGCCUCCCAAGAGCGGCCCCGCGGCUGCUGCCUCACAAGAUCCGCUCCAUCCCUCGCGGAUCCGCCUGCUAUCGCGCGCUGGUCUGAUUCCUGGCUUCCUCCUCAGCGCCUUGUUCGACGUUGUGGUCUUCUUCCUCAGCGGCCUGUCUGCCGUCCGCCAUUGCUGUCCGCCCAGAACUCCUGAAUCUCAGGUGCGCCCCUCCGUUUUUUACUGGUCAUCUCUUCCUGGUCGCCCCCUUUCAUUUUGUUCCAAGAACCAGCCUAGAGACAGUAAACGAGGAGUCCACUUUACUGCAGCAGACGAGAACAAAGGUUGAAACUAAUGGUCAGGUUGUACCUGGCCCUGAAUAUGAAAGUCCUAACCUGAAUGGCUCCAUUGGAACCUCCUCUCCUCAGGAGCACCUGACAGGUCAUUGUAAUCUCACCUCUUUGAUUUACCAAAAAAAAUGUUGUCACGCACAAAGAUCUGAAUGCAGUAAAAAGGUUAACUAAUAUUCAGUAGUACUGGUAUUCUGCUUCUACCACUAGCACAGCAUUGCUCAAACGAACUACCUUUCCUGCAUUUUAGGUACCACUAAUACGACAUAGACUGUGCCUCUUAGCUAACUACGCUGACCAUUUGCUCCUCUCAGUAUUAGGUUCCUAAGCCAGAAUUCAAUUUAUGCUUCACUUACUCACUAUACUUAAGAAAUAGAAUGCUAUUACAAUCACCGAUGUUGUAUCUUCUUCUAACUAGACCACCUUUUUCUUGUGCACCAUUAAGACCACCAAAGUAGAUUUGGGAGGUAGUACUCCCAUGCUGUUCAAGACAUUUACAGGUACUAUGAGCUACUUUCUUCAAACUUUAUUAAUCAUAUGAGUUCUUGGGCCAGAUGUAGUUGAUCCAGGCAUGCAGCUGUUAUUCAUUUUAUACUUGAAAAAUAAAAUGAACUACCAAAGGUUAUAAGACACAGAUACUCUUUCCCAUAUAUGCGCAUGAUUAUUAUUCAGUUUAGGAAAUGCUUUGGGUAAUACGACACCGAUAUUCUUUCCCAUAUAUGUGCAUGAUUACUAUUAAGUUUAGGAAGCGCUCUGUUGGUCCAGAAUUUCUGUUGAUAUGAACAAAUAUUCCUUUUCAUAUAUGUGAAUGACUAUUGCCUAUUGCACAAACACAAGUAUUAGUUGUAUUAAUGGUUCCCAGCAUGUUUAAACAUUUAUAGUGCUAAGACACUGCAUUAGGCCUCCAAGUAUAUUUGCUACUCAUGCUUGCUUCACCCUUCAUUUAGUGAAACAUUGUCAGGCCCAAUUUGUUGUAGUACAUAAAAUGUAUCUGUAGAUGCACAGCUAAAACUAUAUUUUGAGGGACUGAUCAUGCGGUUUUUUACUCUGCUGAAACUGAAAUAUUAGAAUGAGAUGUCCAGCAACAAAAAAAAAUGCCCAUUGAGAUAGCUAAAAUAGCAUAAGCAAUUUUACUUCUUUACCAAGCUUUUCUUGCUAUGGUCAUGUAGUGAAUUGAUGUAAACACGUGCAUAUUACGUUUAUCCUCAGGGAAAUAUUUGAUAUAAACAAAAAAAUUAUUUCCUUCAAGGACUGGUUCCUUUUCAGUGAUCAACACAAAAAUUGCAGGUAAGGAAUUGCUGGAUUCGAGCGCCAAGGUAAAUCCCCUCCGCUCCAUUCCUUCCUGGCAUUUCCUAGGUAAAGUAAGACCAUCCCUCCCAAUAUUUGUUUUAAUUCUUCCACUAACAGAGAUGCAUGGAGCAGUAUGCUGAAAUCUUUUCGCAAGUUGUCGCUGUUCAAAAGUAUGGAACAAUCCCUUAUGAAUGAUUUGAUGAUUUUAUUUGUCUAGAUGAGUACCUGUUCAUAAUCUAGAUAUGCAUGAUUACAGUAAGCUUACAAUUUGGAAAUGUUUCUUUCUUGACAAAAUACCUUUAUUCAGAUUAUUUAGAUGAACUAAUGGAGCAUGCUUAUAUAUUAGAAUAAUUGAUAACUCGCCAACAUUAGGGGCCACUUUCCUUUUGUUUUGCUGCUGGGCUGCCAUUGAUGGCUUCUAUAUAUUUUCCUAAAAAUAACAUAGCUUCGUCCCUUUCCUACAAUUACUUAUUUGAUUCAUAUAUUAUUUUCCCCUCUCUUUUCAUAUCCACUAAGGUAUGAUGAAGAUUUCCUAAUUUCUGUGUCGGACUACUUGAUCAAGUAGUCCAUGUUUGCUAUACAUAUGGUAAAAUCUUUAAAAUAAACUUGGAAUGUUGCCUUAAACUCGAUUAUACCAUUCUCACUUCCUUGUUCUUAACCCAUUUGCUUGUGAACCUAUGCAGAAUCAAAGCAAGGAAAAAAAAAGACUGCCAUUCUACUGUAUUUGAAAGACUUGAUGGUGUCAUGCCCCUCCUGCGCCUACAACACUAGACCUGUACCUGGCGGCCUCCAAUUUUGACUGCCCUGCCUUCUUUUCCCAUCUGGUCCGGUGCAGGCAAGGAAGGGGGCGUCUCUUGCAUCAUGGAGUCUCUGGUUCACAUUCUGUUCCUUCCCCAGCUCCUCCACAUGAUUCAGAUGUUCUCAUAAUGUGCUGCUUCUACCCUCCCUCCAUUGCAAGGGAAAAAAUAUGCCGCUGCUUUGGCCCCGUUCCUCAUAAGUCAAAAAGGUCAAGCGCUACACAAGGGUGCAUAAAUAAGCACUGAUUAUCUCUAACAAGCAGCAUGCUAGACUCCUUCGCCCUCCUAUAGAGCUUUCAGUGAUUCUUUACAGCAUGCAUACUGUUAAUCCAGAUUUUAUUACUUUCCCCAGGCCUCUAACUUAAUUAUAGUACUAAUAUUUCUUGCAUUAUAAUAUUACAUGAUACUAUUUACAUUAUAAUA